CUGAAACUGUUACACACAUAAACCACAAUCUUAAUCAUCUCAUCCUGUUUCUGCAACCAAGGAAGUCAUCAUUCAUUGUGACAUCAUGUUCGGGGACCAGGCAAAUAGAGGUGAGGUCACAACAUAGGAAAGUUGCUUGGUGUAUAAUUAGUGUGGGGAGCACAGGGGGGUGGAUUACAAUGCACAGACAAAUUCUAAUCCAUAGCCUGUAAUUUGAAGGUUGGGUCAAUCAUAAUUUGGGUGCAAGCACACCUACUUCCUUUUUCAAUAAGGGAGAAUUUAGCUCUUGUUACCCACAAGAGUUCUCAAAGUAGAAAAUAAUAAACCAUGUUCUUGAAGCCAGUACUGAAUUAUCAAAGCUGAAGGAAGGGAAGCUAAAGAAAGAUUAGGCAACUUGGGGUACAAAUGCGUUCAAAAUCCUCUCCGUCAGUAUGCCAAGUCUCUGGAUACCAGUGACUUAUUUGCCCUGGGGUGAGAGAAAACUCCAUUUUCCAUCAAGCUGGAGAAGCAGCCUUUGUUUUUCAGCCAUGGAUAAGGCCACUUAUUAGGAGGACAACAAGAAGUGAAAUCUCAGGAGGAUGCUUACCAGGAAUCAGGAAACUGGAAAAACAAUGGCCUGCUGGGACAGAUCUCCAAGCCCUAGAGGACCACAGGUGAAUGUCACCUGUGGACCAGUAAGACAACAUGACACGUAAGGCAGGAGAAUCACUUGAACCUGGAAGGCGGAGAUUGCAGUGAACUGAGAUCACACCAAUGCACUCUAGCCUGGGCAACAGAGUGAGACUCUGUCUCAAAAAAGAAAAAAAACAAAGACAAUACGACAUACCUAGAUUCUAAUUCAACACAGAAAAUGCAAAACAAAUAAAUAAAUAAAAUAAACAUAAAACCAAA